GAUGAACGCUGACAGAAUGCUUAACACAUGCAAGUCAACUUGAACUUCGGUUUGGGUGGCGGACGGGUGAGUAACGCGUAAAGAACUUGCCUCACAGAUAGGGACAACAUUUGGAAACGAAUGCUAAUACCUGAUAUUAUGAUUAUAUGGCAUCGUAUAAUUAUGAAAGCUAUAUGCGCUGUGAGAGAGCUUUGCGUCCCAUUAGCUAGUUGGAGAGGUAACGGCUCACCAAGGCGAUGAUGGGUAGCCGGCCUGAGAGGGUGAUCGGCCACAAGGGGACUGAGACACGGCCCUUACUCCUUCGGGAGGCAGCAGUGGGGAAUAUUGGACAAUGGACCAAGAGUCUGAUCCAGCAAUUCUGUGUGCACGAUGAAGUUUUUCGGAAUGUAAAGUGCUUUCAGUUGGGAAGAAAAAAAUGACGGUACCAACAGAAGAAGUGACGGCUAAAUACGUG
rnacentral:rRNA from 1 species